rnacentral:rRNA from 1 species
GAUGAACGCUGGCGGCGUGCCUAAUACAUGCAAGUCGAGCGAACAGGUUAGGUGCUUGUUCCUCUUACAUUAGCAGCGAACGGGUGAGUAACACGUGGGUAACCUGCCUAUAAGCGUGGGAUAACUUUGGGAAACGAAUGCUAAUACCGCAUAAAAUCUUUAAACACAUGGUUCAAGAUUGAAAGACGCAAUUGCAUCACCCAAUGAUGAUAUCCCGUUGGAUUUGCCUAGUUGGUAAGGUAAGGGUAUACAAGGCGAACGAUGCGUACCCGCCCUGGGAGGGUGAUCGGCCACAUUGGAACUGAGCACGGGUCCAGACUCCUACGGGAGGAAGAAGAAGGGAACCUUCAGAAAUGGGCGAAAGCCUGACGGGGCAACGCGGCGGGAGUGAUGAAGUUUUCCGGAUCGAAAAACUCUGUUAUUAGGGAGGAACAAAUGUGUAAGGAACUAUGCACGUCUUGACGGUACCUAACCAGAAAGACACGGCUAACUACGUG